CGGGGUAUGGCGCAGCCUGGUAGCGCAUCUGCUUUGGGAGCAGAGGGUCGUAGGUUCGAAUCCUGCUGCCCCGACCA
rnacentral:tRNA from 3 species